CCGGGUGUAGGGCAGAUUGGUCAGCCCGUCUCCCUUGGGAGGAGAAGGUCGCAGGUUCGAAUCCUGCCACUCGGA
rnacentral:tRNA from 1 species